rnacentral:pre_miRNA from 1 species
AAAAAGGCAAACCCUGGGUUUCCGUGUCCAACUUUGACUGUCCGUCUUAUAUGAAAUUUUUUUAUAAUUCAUAUUUUCAUUGUUGUUAGAUGAUAAAACAUGAUUAAUAUUUUAUGCGUGACUUGUCUUUUUAAUUUUUUUCAUAAUUUUUCAAAUAAGACGGACGGUCAAACGUUGGACACGGAAACCAGGGUUUGUCUUUUU